AUCGAACAACCCAUUAGUUUUAACAAAAUGUCUUGUCUGAUUAUAGGGCAUCUUUUUAAUUUCAUUUUUCCAAUUUUUGAAUUGAUCUAUUUGUUUUGAGGGCAUCAACUGCUGGAGCUGGGUAAAGUCUCUUAUCUCCUGGGUUCGAUCCCAUUCUUGCAUCAAUAAUCAGCCAAUAUUUUAUCUAAUCAAGUUCUUUAAAAAUCUUGUUUCUGACGGUUUUGAAUUGCUUGAUAUAUAUCAAACACAUUUGAUGGUUCUGAUAUAUUAUCCAAUUAUAUGGUCCAUCAGACUGACAUAGCUAUCA
rnacentral:lncRNA from 1 species